rnacentral:rRNA from 1 species
GAUGAACGCUGGCGGCGUGCCUAAUACAUGCAAGUCGAGCGAACGGACGAGUAUCUUGCUUCUCUGAUGUUAGCGGCGGACGGGUGAGUCACACGUGGAUAACCUACCUAUAAGACUGGGAUAACUUCGGGAAACCGUAGCUCAUACCGGAUAAUAUUUUGAACCGCUUGGUUCAAAAGUGAAUGACGGUCUUGCUGUCACUUAUAGAUGGAUCCGCGCUGCAUUAGCUAGUUGGUAAGGUAACGGCUUACCAAGGCAGCGAUGCAUAGCCGACGUGAGAGGGGGUACGCCCACUCUGGAGCUGAGAGGCGGUCCUGACACCUAGGGGCGGCAGCAGUAGCGAAUGGACCGAGAUGGGCGAAAGCCUGACGGAGCAACGCCGCGUGGGUGAUGAAGGUCUUCGGAUCGGAAGACGCUGUUAGUGGGGUAGAACAUAUGUGUAAGUGACUGAGCACAGCGUGACGGUACCGAAUCAGAAAGCCACGGCUAACUACGUG